UACAGAGGUGGCAAGCGUUGUUCGGAAUUACUGGGCGUAAAGGGCGCGUAGGCGGCCUACUAAGUCAGACGUGAAAUCCCCCGGCUUAACCUGGGAACUGCGUCUGAUACUGGAAGGCUUGAGGAUGGGAGAGGGAUGUAGAAUUCCAGGUGUAGCGGUGAAAUGCGUAGAUAUCUGGAGGAAUACCGGUGGCGAAGGCGGCAUCCUGGACCAUUACUGACGCUGAGGCGCGAAAGCUAGGGAGCAAACGG
rnacentral:rRNA from 1 species